rnacentral:rRNA from 1 species
AUUGAACGCUGGCGGCAGGCCUAACACAUGCAAGUCGAACGCGUGGCGGACGUGUGUGUAAUGUCUGGGAACCUGCCUUAUGGCGGGGGAUAACUACUGGAAACGGUAGCUAUUACCGCAUACCUUCGACUGUGCCCAGAUGGGAUUAGCGAGUAGGUGGGGUAACGGCUCACCUAGGCGACGAUCCCUAGCUGGUCUGAGAGGGUGACCAGCCACACUGGAACUGAGACACGGUCCAGACUCCUACGGGAGGCAGCAGUGGGGAAUAUUGCACAAGGGGCGAAAGCCUGAUGCAGCCAUGCCGCGUGUAUGAAGAAGGCCUUCGGGUUGUAAAGUACUUUCAGCAGGGAGGCGUUACCCACAGAAGAAGCACCGGCUAACUCCGUGCCAGCAGCCGCGGUAAUAC